rnacentral:rRNA from 1 species
CAGUCGCCGCGGGAAUACAGAGGGUGCAAGCGUUAAACGGAUUUACUGGGCGUAAAGCGUGUGUAGGUGGCUGUUCAAGUCGGUUGUGAAAGCCCUGGGCUCAACCUGGGAAUUGCUUCCGAGACUGAGCGGCUAGAGUACGGUAGAGGGCGGUGGAAUUUCCGGUGUAGCGGUGAAAUGCGUAGAUAUCGGAAGGAACACCAAUGGCGAAGGCAGCCGCCUGGGCCUGUACUGACACUGAGACACGAAAGCGUGGGGAUCAAACAGGAUUAGAUACCCCAGUAGUCCCUGUCUCUUAUAC